rnacentral:misc_RNA from 1 species
AACGCAUAUUGCGCCCCUCGGAAUUCCGGGGGGCAUGCCUGUUCGAGCGUCAUUUACUCCCCUCAAGCGUAGCUUGGUCCUGAACCCCGUCCCCCCGGGGGCGCGUUCGAAAACGAGCGGCGGUCCGGGUGGACUUCAAGCGCAGUAAAUAUUCACCCGCUUUGGAAGCUCCCUCCCAGGGCCUGCCGGUGAACCCCCGUACUUCCACGAAUUGACCUCGGAUCAGGUAGGGAUACCCGCUGAACUUAA